GGCUCCAACAUCCCCGCAGGCUGGGCGCUGAAUCGGACCUGAUUCUCCCGACGACGCGCAGUGAGUCUGCUGUAGCC
rnacentral:sRNA from 1 species